AAGACGAAUAUUUAUGGCUUGCAAGCUCUUACAGCUUGAGCCUAAUAUUCGGGAUUACGACUGGACAUUCCAUCCAGGUAAUCUUUUUCUUCACGUUUUAUUUAGAAAACGAUUUGAAUAUUAAAUUAAAACAAUUAAAGUACCGAGGUUUGAAAUUAUUGAAAGUUUAGUUGAUGUUGCUUAAGAGCUCAUUGUAAGAAGGCCCAAGAGUAAGCCAUGUGAGGUUGAUGGCGAUGCUUAAAAGCAAUCGACUUACAAGGGUAUGGAAAUGGGCUCGACGUUGAAUCGAGAAUUAAGUGAUAUUUAUCAUUAUUACUCUUUUUAAUGUUUUUUUU
rnacentral:lncRNA from 1 species